rnacentral:rRNA from 1 species
UUCACGGAGAGUUUGAUCCUGGCUCAGGACGAACGCUGGCGGCGUGCUUAACACAUGCAAGUGGUGCGACGAACCAGGGCUUGCCCUGGGGCAAAGCCGCGAACGGGUGAGUAACACGUGAGUAACCUGCCCCGAUGACCGGGACAACCCGAGGAAACUCGGGCUAAUACCGGAUGUGGCGCACAGGCGUAAGCCUGUUCGCUAAAGGAAGCUUCGGCCUCCGCAUUGGGAGGGGCUCGCGGCCCAUUAGCUUGUUGGUGGGGUAACGGCCUACCAAGGCAACGAUGGGUAGCUGGUCUGAGAGGACGAUCAGCCACACUGGGACUGAGACACGGCCCAGACUCCUACGGGAGGCAGCAGUGGGGAAUCUUGCGCAAUGCGCGAAAGCGUGACGCAGCA